AUUGAACGCUGGCGGCAGGCCUAACACAUGCAAGUCGAACGAGUGGCGGACGGGUGAGUAAUGUCUGGGAAACUGCCCGAUGGAGGGGGAUAACUACUGGAAACGGUAGCUAAUACCGCAUACCAUCAGAUGUGCCCAGAUGGGAUUAGCUUGUUGGUGGGGUAACGGCUCACCAAAGCGCCGAUCCCUAGCUGGUCUGAGAGGAUGACCAGCCACACGGGAACGUAGAGACGGGCCAGACUCCUACGUGAGGCAUAAGUGGGGAAUAUUGCACAAGGGGCGCAAGCCGUAUGCAGCCAUGCCGCGUGUAUGAUGAAGGCCUUCGGGUUGUAAAGUACUUUCAGCGGGGAGGCGUUACCCGCAGAAGAAGCACCGGCUAACUCCGUGCCAGCAGCCGCGGUAAUAC
rnacentral:rRNA from 1 species